rnacentral:rRNA from 1 species
UAACGCGUGGAUAACCUGCCGUAUACCGGGGGAUAACACUUAGAAAUAGGUGCUAAUACCGCAUAAGCGCACGGCUCCGCAUGGGGCAGUGUGAAAAACUCCGGUGGUAUACGAUGGAUCCGCGUCUGAUUAGCUAGUUGGCGGGGUAACGGCCCACCAAGGCAGCGAUCAGUAGCCGGCCUGAGAGGGUGGACGGCCACAUUGGGACUGAGACACGGCCCAAACUCCUACGGGAGGCAGCAGUGGGGAAUAUUGCACAAUGGGGGAAACCCUGAUGCAGCGACGCCGCGUGAGUGAAGAAGUAUCUCGGUACGUAAAGCUCUAUCAGCAGGGAAGAAAAUGACGGUACCUGACUAAGAAGCCCCGGCUAACUACGUGCCAGCAGCCGCGGUAAUACGUAGGGGGCAAGCGUUAUCCGGAUUUACUGGGUGUAAAGGGAGCGUAGACGGCAGCACAAGUCUGGAGUGAAAUCCCGGGGCUUAACCCCGGAACUGCUUUGGAAACUGUGCGGCUGGAGUGCAGGAGGGGUAAGCGGAAUUCCUAGUGUAGCGGUGAAAUGCGUAGAUAUUAGGAGGAACACCAGUGGCGAAGGCGGCCUGCUGGACGAUGACUGACGUUGAGGCUCGAAAGCGUGGGGAGCAAACAGGAUUAGAUACCCUGGUAGUCCACGCCGUAAACGAUGACUGCUAGGUGU